rnacentral:rRNA from 1 species
UAGGGAAUCUACCGCAAUGGGCGCAAGCCUGACGGAGCAACGCCGCGUGAGUGAUGAAGGUCUUCGGAUCGUAAAACUCUGUUAUUAGGGAAGAACAAACGUGUAAGUAACUGUGCACGUCUUGACGGUACCUAAUCAGAAAGCCACGGCUAACUACGUGCCAGCAGCCGCGGUAAUACGUAGGUGGCAAGCGUUAUCCGGAAUUAUUGGGCGUAAAGCGCGCGUAGGCGGUUUUUUAAGUCUGAUGUGAAAGCCCACGGCUCAACCGUGGAGGGUCAUUGGAAACUGGAAAACUUGAGUGCAGAAGAGGAAAGUGGAAUUCCAUGUGUAGCGGUGAAAUGCGCAGAGAUAUGGAGGAACACCAGUGGCGAAGGCGACUUUCUGGUCUGUAACUGACGCUGAUGUGCGAAAGCGUGGGGAUCAAACA